rnacentral:rRNA from 1 species
GAUGAACGCUGGCGGCGUGCCUAAUACAUGCAAGUCGAGCGAACGGACGAGAAGCUUGCUUCUCUGAUGUUAGCGGCGGACGGGUGAGUAACACGUGGAUAACCUACCUAUAAGACUGGGAUAACUUCGGGAAACCGGAGCUAAUACCGGAUAAUAUUUUGAACCGCAUGGUUCAAAAGUGAAAGACGGUCUUGCUGUCACUUAUAGAUGGAUCCGCGCUGCAUUUGCUAGUUGGUAAGGUAACGGCUUACCAAGGCAACGAUGCAUAGCCGACCUGAGAGGGUGAUCGGCCACACUGGAACUGAGACACGGUCCAGACUCCUACGGGAGGCAGCAGUAGGGAAUCUUCCGCAAUGGGCGAAAGCCUGACGGAGCAACGCCGCGUGAGUAAUGAAGGUCUUCGGAUCGUAAAACUCUGUUAUUAGGGAAGAACAUAUGUGUAAGUAACUGUGCACAUCUUGACGGUACCUAAUCAGAAAGCCACGGCUAACUACGUG